rnacentral:rRNA from 1 species
UACGGGGGGGGCAAGCGUUGUUCGGAAUUACUGGGCGUAAAGGGCUCGUAGGUGGCCAACUAAGUCAGACGUGAAAUCCCCCGGCUUAACCGGGGAAUGGCGUCUGAUACUGGAUGGCUUGGAUUUGGGAGAGGGAUGCGGAAUUCCAGGUGUAGCGGUGAAAUGCGUAGAUAUCUGGAGGAACACCGGUGGCGAAGGCGGCAUCCUGGACCAAUAUUGACGCUGAGGAGCGAAAGCUAGGGGAGCAAACGGG